rnacentral:rRNA from 1 species
UACAGGGGGUGCAAACGUUGCUCGGAAUCAUUGGGCGUAAAGCGCACGUAGGCGGUUCGUUAUGUCGGAUGUGAAAGCCCUUGGCUUAACCGAGGAAGUGCAUACCGUAAACUGGCGAGCUAGAGUACGAAAGAGGAUCGCGGAAUUCCCGGUGUAGAGGUGAAAUUCGUAGAUAUCGGGAGGAACACCGGUGGCGAAGGCGGCGAUCUGGGUCGAUACUGACGCUGAGGAGCGAAAGCGUGGGGAGCGAACAGG